rnacentral:lncRNA from 1 species
AACCUAGACAGCAUAUUCAAAAGCAGAGACAUUACUUUACCAAAAAAGGUCGGUUUAGUCAAAGCUAUGGUUUUUCCAGAAGUCAUGUAUGGAUGUGAGAGUUGAACUAUAAAGAGAGCUGAGCACCAAAGAAUUGAUGCUUUGAACUCUGGUUUUGGAGAAGACUCUUGAGAGUCCCUUGGACUGCAAAGAGACCCAACUAGUCCAUCCUAAAGGAAAUCGGUCCUGAAUAUUCAUUGAAAGGACUGAUGUUGAAGCUGAAACUCCAAUACUUUGGCCACCUGAUGUUAAGAACUGACUCAUUUGAAAAGACCCUGAUGCUGGGAAAGAUUGAAGGCAGGAGGAGAAGGGGACGACAGAGGAUGAGAUAAUUGGAUGGCAUCACCAACUCAAUGGACAUGGGUUUGAGUGAACUCCAGGAGUGGGUGAUGGACAGGGAGGCCUGGCAUGCUGCAGUCCAUGGGGUUGCAAAGAGUCCGACAUGACUGAGCGACUGAACUGAGCUGAGACAGACUUCUUCUGAUGGAACCAAAAGCUCUAAGAAGGUAACUAGGGCCUGCAGCUUGGAAAGGGGCAUGAAGAAAAGGACCGGACAACUGAAACAGUCUCUCUACGUUGGGACUGCACACCCGAGAGGCGUGUGUUUACAGAGUUCUUCUUCCUUUCAUUAUCAUAAUGAGGAGCAAAAACAGAAAGUCCACAACGUGUCAAGGCAGAGGCUAGGAAUAAAACUUAAUUCCUGAAAACCUGGACAAUAGAAGCCAUGAUCCUAAAAAGGAGGAUCAUACACAGAUCUGAUUUCAGGGCUGAAAAGACAAACAAGAAGUACGCUCGUAAUCACCAGCACAUUCACCUCGGCCAAGCCACGGCCACUGCUAAUUCCAGGCUCUGCUGUGAGCUCCACUGAGCUCAGAAAAGGCUGCAGGCAGAACUUCUCAGGGAGAAAAAGGGCCAAAGGGAGGGAGAGGCAUCCUUGGGCAGCGGGGCAGGCCUGCAAGCCAGAAGAGGACUCAGAGAUCAGAAGGAUCUCCCAACGCAUUCUUCACCAAAGGGAAGACUCAGUGUAUGGAGGCAGAUUAAGACUGCACUCUUCAGUGAUGGGGUUCCCCCGACCCUGUUCACCUCCCUUUUCCCCACCCCCACGGUCAGACAGCGACCGGGAUUCUCUGUUUUCUGCCAGGGAAGAUUCGAGGCUGCAAAAUGGCAAGGGGAUGGGAGCCUUUAGGGGGCUUUUGAGUCAAAAAGCCAGCUAUUUGGAUUUUCCUUUAGGGAAUGGAGUAGACCACAGCAAAGGAUUUGGGAGAAUACAAUAAGACAAAGAAGAAAGAUUCUCUCCUCUCCCUGCACCCUCCACCACCUCCCCCAAUCCAACCCCAAGGACAACAAUUUGUUUUUCCUGAGCUGGUGAGAAGGGAGACAGGGGAAACUGAUGAGAGCUGAGACCGCACUGGGUCCCAGAGAAGGACCCUACAUCCUGUUCCUUGCUCCUGAUUUAGGCCUCAGGAUUCCAGAGGGGAUGGGCGGUGGAGGUUGGUCAGAGGACACCUGUGAGCAUUUUCUAGAUAGAGCUGCCUCUGAACUGGAGGCAAGACCUCAGAAAAGAGGCGGAAAAGAAGCGGUCACAUGGUGUCUCUAGUUUUAUGGUCUCAGGGCUUCCCUGUGAUCCAGCACAGCGGUCUGGGGAUUGCUACACCCAGAAGUCCUGACAAAGUUGCCCAGAGCCGGGUGGAGCAGAGAGGGAUGAGGGUCAUCAUUCUGCCAAACAUGGUGUUUGAGGUUCAAAAGAUAAAUGUCUCCAGGAAGGGUAAAGUGAAAGUCGCUCAGUUGUGUCCAACUCUUUGCAACCCCAUGGAAUAGUCCAUGGAAAUCUCCAGGCCAGAAUACUGGAGUGGGUAGCCAUUCUCUUCUCUAGGAGAUCUUCCCAACCCAGGGAUCAAACCCAGGUCUCCCGCAUUGCAGGUGGAUUCUUUACCAGCUGAGCCAACAGGGAAGGCCAAGGAAAGGUAAGCACUGACUUAAACUGGCUGAGGAGCAUCGGUCCAGCCCCUUGGUCCAGCCCAGUGGAUGCUGCAUAGCCAUACAGCAUCAGCGGGCUAGUAGGCCCCUCUGGAUGCUUCAGUGGCCCUGUGGAAACCCUCAGGAAGGAAAGAAAUGACUACAAUAAAACCCCUCCCUCCUGGCUUAAUGGGUUCGAG